AAGCGCCUUACGUCACAUCCGGCAUGUCAGAGCAGUGCGCACAAGAACUCGGCGUUCAGGAGACGAAGAAUCAACAGACGUAGCAGCGCAAGCUGAAGAGAGAAGGAGGCUCGAAAACAGCGAAUAUGCAAGAACCUGAGGAGGAAGGAGAGUCGUCAAGGAAGAAAAGCAAACCUGAAAAUAUUGUGUCUAAAUCCAAAAAAAAAAAAAAGCACACGCAGAAGAGAACGACGACGUGCUAUAGAUAAAGGCACACGCAAACAGACGAGACAACAGUUCAGUGAAUCAGAGAGGAACAUGAGGAAC